GACGAUGGGGAUGCGUUCCAUUAGAUAGUAGGCGGGGUAACGGCCCACCUAGUCUUCGAUGGAUAGGGGUUCUGAGAGGAAGGUCCCCCACAUUGGAACUGAGACACGGUCCAACUUCCUACGGGAGGCAGCAGUGAGGAAUAUUGGUCAAUGGGCGAGAGCCUGAACCAGCCAAGUAGCGUGAAGGAUGACUGCCCUAUGGGUUGUAAACUUCUUUUAUAAAGGAAUAAAGUCGGGUAUGGAUACCCGUUUGCAUGUACUUUAUGAAUAAGGAUCGGCUAACUCCGUGCCAGCAGCCGCGGUAAUACGGAGGAUCCGAGCGUUAUCCGGAUUUAUUGGGUUUAAAGGGAGCGUAGAUGGAUAUUUAAGUCAGUUGUGAAAGUUUGCGGCUCAACCGUAAAAUUGCAGUUGAUACUGGAUAUCUUGAGUGCAGUUGAGGCAGGCGGAAUUCGUGGUGUAGCGGUGAAAUGCUUAGAUAUCACGAAGAACUCCGAUUGCGAAGGCAGCCUGCUAAGCUGCAACUGACAUUGAGGCUCGAAAGUGUGGGUAUCAAACAGGAUUAGAUACCCUGGUAGUCCACACGGUAAACGAUGAAUACUCGCUGUUUGCGAUAUACUGCAA
rnacentral:rRNA from 1 species